GGGAGUGGGAGGGUGAUUAACAGGGGAAGAAUUAGGAAAGAGGACACGCAAGACCACAGUAAGAGAUGGAAAUAAGAGAAUAUUCCUGAUUUCCACUGGAUGACUUUGACUGGUAUGAUUUCAUUCUCUGAAAGUGUUAACCAGGGUGCAGCAUGGCCAGAAACCAUUCCGAGCCUCAUGAAGUGGGCAAGUCAGGUUUGGUCAUUUUUGGUAUUCCUGUAAGCUGUGAACUCAUCCACAGGUGGCCUGGAAAUUCUCACUCCUAAGGCACAAGGGAACCUCUCUCUUGCCCACUGGGUCCUCAGUAGCUUGAACACAGACCUGUGGCUUCUCUCCCUGUGUCCUCCUCUGCAUCCUUGACAUCACCCUUCUCUGGAGGGCCCGGACUUUCCAGAGUCUACUGGAAGCUCUCAUAUGAACUGGGGAAUCUAUCACUGGGUUCUCACAUGGAUUUGGGGUAAUGUCAUUGCAUGUACACAGUUUAAGACAGAGCAUCUGGUGAUUCUCGGACCUUCAAGCAAGUGUCACAUCUCAGGUGAACCUUGGCAGUUUUAAGAUGAACAAAGUAAUCAAAGCAAAAAUGUCAAAUAAUAAUAAUAAUAAUGAUAUCAGAAGAAUGUCCAGUGCCAUGGUUGGAUUCCCAGAAGGCAGCAUCUGCUCAUGCCAUCAACAACAUGGUGCCAUUUCAGUCAUCCUCUUUUUGUCCCAAAGACAGAAAAAAAAUAGAAAAAAGAAAGAGAAAAAGACACCACGAACCGUCUAUCCUCCUGGUAAUACAAAUACACCUGUAAAUAAACAUGUCAAUGUCUACACAC
rnacentral:lncRNA from 1 species